rnacentral:rRNA from 1 species
AUUGAACGCUGGCGGCAGGCCUAACACAUGCAAGUCGAGCGGAUGAGGAAAGCUUGCUUUUCGAUUCAGCGGCGGACGGGUGAGUAAUGCCUAGGAAUCUGCCUGCUAGUGGGGGAUAACUCGGGGAAACUCGGGCUAAUACAGCAUACGUCCUACGGGAGAAAGUGGGGGAUGUUCGGACCUCACGCUAACAGAUGAGCCUAGGUCGGAUUAGCUAGUAGGUGAGGUAAUGGCUCACCUAGGCGACGAUCCGUAACUGGUCUGAGAGGAUGAUCAGUCACACUGGAACUGAGACACGGUCCAGACUCCUGCGGGAGGCAGCAGUGGGGAAUAUUGGACAAUGGGCGAAAGCCUGAUCCAGCCAUGCCGCGUGUGUGAAGAAGGUCUUCGGAUUGUAAAGCACUUUAAGUUGGGAGGAAGGGUAUUCACCUAAUACGUGGGUACUUUGACGUUACCAACAGAAUAAGUACCGGCUAACUCUGUGCCAGCCGCCGCGGUAAGAC